ensembl:lncRNA
CCUUCUUCCACUCUUCUUUCCUUUUACUCUUCUUUCCUUUCUUCUUUCCUUCUUUCACUCUUCUUUCUUUUCUUCUUCCUUUCUUAACUUUUGCAUUUCAUGCACUGGUAUUUCCUUCAGGAAAUGCAUUUUCUAGUUUAAAAUGGUAGCUUUCUUAUAUCCGAUUAGAGGAAGUGCACGGUCCUAUGCGGCCCUCUGGUAGCUAUGAAGAAAAAUUGUGGCCCUCUCCAUCAUUAAAGUUGCCCAUCCUUGGUGUAAAGAGUUGGGCCUCUAUAUACAGUCGAUGAUCUACGACACCCACUGGGAUCCCCAGAGAUGAAUGCGAAUUUCUUGCUAUGGUUCAAGAGCUUCUCUAGCCACUCCACGCAAACGAAUAAUGUAUGUUUUGAAGAAAGAAGAAGAAACACUACAAAGGACAAAAUGGAAUGUCAAUCCUACAAAUGACCUCUAGAGGACGCUCUUGCAAUAGUAUUGAGGAGUGGAGUUAUAGAAGUUUCCGAAUUCAGCACUUCUCAUAUCCACUCAGUGUCAGUGUGACUGGACUGGAGGUCAGAGGAGUCCGUGGGCAUUCUUCUCUUCCGUCAAGCCCUGGCCUGUACUGCGUCAGAGGGCCAGCUGAGCUCUUGCGGCCGGGCCGAGUGCCAGGAGCCAGCUGGGAGAAGGAGGAGUGUUAUGGGACGGAGCGGCGAAGAUGACAGCAGGACAGGAGGCGACACACCUGUGGCUCUGUCACGCCACCACACCGACCUCCCUCACCCCCCACCCC